GUUAAUAUCCAUUAUAUAUGUUAAAAAUUCAUUUAUACCCAACUCAUGUCCAUUUUACAAUCAAAAUACAACAGAAAAUUCAAUAAAAUAUUGUUUAAUUAAAAUUGUUAAAAUUAAUCAAGUGCAAUAUACUUUUUCCAGCUCUCCACAAGUUUGAAACCAAGAUUGAUCAUUAAAAUAAUCGACCUUAAAUUUUUGUUCAAGCUAUACAAUUUGC
rnacentral:misc_RNA from 1 species